rnacentral:rRNA from 1 species
GAUGAACGUUGGCGGCGUGCCUAAUACAUGCAAGUCGAACGAAGACUGUAGUAAUACUGUCUUAGUGGCGAACGGGUGAGUAACGCGUGGGUGACCUGCCCCGAAGUGUGGGAUAACAGUCCGAAAGGAUUGCUAAUACUGCAUAAUAUCCAAGAGAUUAGAUGCUUUUGGAUUAAAGGAGUAAUUCGCUUCGGAAGGGGCCCGCGUCCCAUCAGCUAGUUGGUAAGGUAAUGGCUUACCAAGGCGAUGACGGGUAGGGGACCUGAGAGGGUGGCCCCCCACAAUGGAACUGAAACACGGUCCAUACACCUACGGGUGGCAGCAGUAGGGAAUAUUAGUAAUGGGCGAAAGCCUGAACUAGCAACGCCGCGUGUGC